rnacentral:rRNA from 1 species
UGGGGAAUUUUGGACAAUGGGCGAAAGCCUGAUCCAGCAAUGCCGCGUGUGUGAAGAAGGCCUUCGGGUUGUAAAGCACUUUGUCCGGAAAGAAAUCCUUGGCUCUAAUACAGUCGGGGGAUGACGGUACCGGAAGAAUAAGCACCGGCUAACUACGUGCCAGCAGCCGCGGUAAUACGUAGGGUGCAAGCGUUAAUCGGAAUUACUGGGCGUAAAGCGUGCGCAGGCGGUUUGCUAAGACCGAUGUGAAAUCCCCGGGCUCAACCUGGGAACUGCAUUGGUGACUGGCAGGCUAGAGUAUGGCAGAGGGGGGUAGAAUUCCACGUGUAGCAGUGAAAUGGCGUAGAGAUGUGGAGGAAUACCGAUGGCGAAGGCAGCCCCCUGGGCCAAUACUGACGCUCAUGCACGAAAGCGUGGGGAGCAAACAGGAUUAGAUACCCCUGGUAGUCCACGCCCUAAACGAUGUCAACUAGUUGUUGGGGAUUCAUUUCCUUAGGUAACGUAGCUAACGCGUGAAGUUGACCGCCUGGGGAGUACGGUCGCAAGAUU